GAGGCGGAGGCGCGGCGCACCCAGCCUGACCAGCAAAAAUAUCGUGAAACGCACGCUGAUGGGCAAGGACCGCCAAGAUCCUCAAAGGACUCAUAAGCCGUCGGCCGUGGGUUCGAGUCCCGCCCGCCCCA
rnacentral:tRNA from 1 species